GGGCACCACCGGGGAGGCUGCCUGUUAAUUUAAUUUGACUCAACACAAACUAUCUCGGCCCGGACACCGACCGGAAGGAUUGAUUGAUUGCUUUUUCUUUCUUGAUUGGAUGGGGGGGGGUGCACGGUCUUUCUUGGUGGAGGGAGCGGUUUGUCUUAUUAAUAUCCAUAGCGAAACUCUCUCCUACCUACUAAAUGGAGCAUGGCUUCCGUUGUGGGUCCACUGUAGAGGGUUUUUCGGUGGCCCGCCGCACCAAAUUGCAUUUAGACUUUGUCUGUGAGGUCUUUGAAUGUCCUUAGAUGGUCUGCGCUCUACACUGGCUUAAUUGAAGGAAUUGUCCUGCGCCCCAAGGGGUAGAAAAAUGCUUGAAACCGUUGAAGCUCCUGCCAUAAGAAAAUUGAUUAAUUGCUACUUGAACCCGUGAUUCCAAAGAAUUCGCGAAAGGCUCAAGUCAUAAGGAUUAGGCCAUUACCUUUCUGGACACUUUGUCCCCCCGGUCCGCGGGUAUGACCCAUUUAG
rnacentral:rRNA from 1 species